rnacentral:rRNA from 1 species
UAGGGAAUCUUCGGCAAUGGGGGGAACCCUGACCGAGCAACGCCGCGUGAGUGAAGAAGGUUUUCGGAUCGUAAAGCUCUGUUGUUAAGGAAGAACGGGUGUGAGAAUGGAAAGUUCAUACUGUGACGGUACUUAACCAGAAAGGGACGGCUAACUACGUGCCAGCAGCCGCGGUAAUACGUAGGUCCCGAGCGUUGUCCGGAUUUAUUGGGCGUAAAGCGAGCGCAGGCGGUUAGAUAAGUCUGAAGUUAAAGGCAGUGGCUCAACCAUUGUAGGCUUUGGAAACUGUUUAACUUGAGUGCAGAAGGGGAGAGUGGAAUUCCAUGUGUAGCGGUGAAAUGCGUAGAUAUAUGGAGGAACACCGGUGGCGAAAGCGGCUCUCUGGUCUGUAACUGACGCUGAGGCUCGAAAGCGUGGGGAGCGAACAGG